GUGGAAGGCGGCGCGUGUUGAACAGGAAGUGCGCGGCGUGCGGCGCCACUGCCCCACUCCCCGUCGCCCCCGGGUCGCCGCUCGCUGUCCCCUGCGGCCGAGGCCGCUGGGACUUUCUCCGAGAGCUGAUUUCGGAUCCAUCGCGUCUCCCAGUGUCUCUAUUUAGGCCUGACCCCCUGAAACACACAGAUGCACACGCGUCUCGUCCCUGCUGCAGGGGACCCGGCAGCGGUGGGAACCCCCGGUUUUCGGUGGGCUGCACGUUGACCAGCACAGGCUUCACGGAAAACCGCCCACCUGGCGUUUGACCCCAAUCCACAAGGAGAGCGGUCUGGGUCUCUGGGGCACUAGCAUCACCCACACGGCUGGAGCACCCACUGCUGAGUGCGGUCAGCCCUCAGGGCUUCCGCUCAAUUUCUUGGCCCAUCAUGAUGGCGCCACCUCUUCCCAAACCAAGGCAAUUCAGAGAAGAUGAUUAAACUGCUGCAUCAAGGCCAAGGCCUAUGACCGAGUCGGGAACUGCAAGACAAGGGAUGUUAAGACUGAAGAUGAUUUUGGAAGCCACAGGUCAUCUCUGCAGAGCAUCGACAACCUAGAAGGGUUCAGAAUCGGUGGUGUGCUCAUGGAUUCAAAGUCCACACCUGCCCUGUGCCCUUGGAAUGUCACCGAUGGCAGGAUUCUGGGGACUUAUAAAUGGAUGUGUGUGUCUGAUGAAUCCCCCUCCUCAUUGGCCGUGUCCCCAUGUGGGAAAGGUGACAGGAAGCAACUCUUUGGUCACCAUGCUGGGUAGCUCAUAUAAAUUAUCUCCUCUAAUGACAAUUAGCCCCCCUGAGAGAACGGCAUAUGCACUUCACGGUCUAGGGAAGCUGCAUCCUAGUUGCUAGCAAGUGCUUUGCAUCCAUUAACUUAUGUCCCUUGGUUCUCAUUGCUGUUCCCUUUAUGAAAACAGUACAGAUUUGCCCCCCUCCUCUUUUAAAAGCUUUACGCAAGACUCAGAAGACUCUCUAGUAAAUGCCUCCCAGGUGACUUAGAUAAGCUACAGAACAUCUCUGCUGCCUUGUUUCCAGACAGUGACACAGGAUUGUGAGAGCAAUGGCGUAUACCUUCAGGACCCCAGGGACUCAAUUCCAUGCCAAAUGCCACUCUUGGAAAAAUGAUCCAACAAGGUGUGGGCUCGGGGCCUCUGUAAAUGCUGUGCUAACUCACUGGACACCAAGCUCGGGGCAUGUACCUGACGAUGACAACCAAGGCCAAUAGGCACAUUCCCUUUCAGCUUGGGCACUCACCGGUGCAAAUGAAGCCACUAAUGUUGAUACCUGAGGGAAGAGAGGCGGGGGGCCCGGGUGAGUGGAACACUGCCCUGGGAUGCCAAAUCUCCUGACCACCCCCUUCAUGGGUCCAUUUUGAUUUGGGGAGGCACCCAAUUUGGCCUCUCCUCCAUCUCCUUUCAGGCUGCCCUUGAUCCAUAAUGCCUGUCAACCCCAGGCAGCCCCGAUGGCGAGAUCCGGGAUGCACUUUGGGAGGAGGAAAGGGCGAACUCUGUAGCAAUGUUCUCCCAAGGGUCAGAAUUGCUGUUCACUUCUUCCCUUGGGGAGAAGCCUGGGUCUUUGCCAGCGCUGUGCCUAAAAGCACAUUCAGCAGUUCUCCAGAACAACAGAUUCAGCAAGCAGGGUGCGUGGAACCACGCUGUGGGGCACAGUGGAGAGCGUCUGUUUGCUAAAUAAAAGGCAGGUAAUCCCAGCAAUCAGCUCCCUUCCUGACUAAGGGCCGUAGUCACGUAAACAGCAUUAGCUGGGAAUGAAGUCGUUGGUUCUGCCAACAGCUGCCUUCGUCACUGACCCACAGCAUGCCCGUUCCAGCGAUCUGCCUCACCUGCCAUGGGGUGGAACGUCUGGGCUCCCCAGGUUGCAGAAUGUGACUAAAGGUCUCUGUGUGUCAGCUCUAGACUUAGUUAUUAGCAUGCAAUAAGCAGACCAUCAACCCGGGAAGUUUGGAGUCCCAUUGCAACCUGAAUAUGGCUCCUGACCGUUUUCUGACCUCUUGAUCAUCUGUCCAUUGGUACGUGAGUAAAUAAUGCAAAUUAAUCAUAAUCAUUUCCUGAGCAAACAAAGUUACUUUGGCAAUUAUACCAGCUCCAAAGUGCCUACACUGCAGGACAGUGUGGCCCUAACGAACAUGGGAGGGUGUAUCUGAUCUCCUGGAUGACCACUGACGACGUCCCCUCAGAUAACAUGUAGCUGACAGCCAGGCCUGGCCUCUAGAACAUCAUCAGGGCUUUUCAUCAAGACUCCAGGAGAAAAUAAAUGCACAUAUCAUCUGUGCCCUUGGCAUGGGCAGCAAGGGUGACCUUGAUUUUCAGGUGUGCACAGCUACCUUUGACCUUCAAGUCCCACUGGAGAGGCAUAGGCACGAUCCCCACGAAGAGGAAACUGCCUGAGUCAGCCCCCGGCGACCUUGCCUCAUCCACCAUUGUCCUUGUGUCUUAGCACUUCAGUCUGCAAUCAAUCAAUGCCCAUUUGGUGCUCAGCAAAUCCCACAGAGAUGUUCAGUUCAAGGACUCCGGACGGACGUGCAGGACAGAUCUCAAGGACAUGGUGGUAUUUGACAACUCUCCUUAUGCCAAUGUGGAUCAAAAGGUAUUUUGUACAAUGUUCCUAAAUAUAACUCCUAAGCAUUGCAUGAGGUCUUGGAAGAGAACGGGAGACAGAGAAGCCUUCCAAGUGCGACUCUCGGUGGCUUACACAAGCUUCCUCAGCACCACACACAGGGCCAGCAGCACCACUGUGCUGAAAGCCUUGCUUUGCCUUUCUGUCCCCACUUACUGUAGCUUUUUACCUUCGAGGUCAAAGAGCAAAGUGUAAUCACAAAGUUCAUUGUCCACUA